AUGGGGGAUACAUCUCCGAAGAGUAGCGACGGGAAGAGCAGCAGCGGCGGCGGAAAGUACAUGCCGCCGGCGGCCAGGAAGGCUGCUGCAGCGGACGGCGGCGCUGUCGUGCUCGCUACCCCGUCGAGGGCCAUGAGUGUGCCCGUCCAGUAUCCGAUGCUGACGGACACCAACUACUCGCUGUGGGCUGCGAAGAUGAAGGUCCUGAUGAAGCCGUUGCGUAUUUGGUCCGCGAUUGAAGGCUCUGGUGAGUAUGAUCAGGCUGCGGAUGAAGGGGCGUUCGCCGCGCUCUCUCAAUCCGUUCCGGAUCACGUGAUGCUGCAGGUUGCGGAGUGCGACACCGCGCGUGAGGCGUGGGAGAUGAUCCGUUGUGCGCGCCUCGGUGAGGAUCGCGUGAAGAAGGCGCAUGCACGACAACUGAAGAAGCAGUUUGAUCGCCUCGACAUGGCUGACCGGGAGACGAUCCCAGAGUUCGCCAAGAAGCUCAUCCCGUUGGUGAGCGAGAUCCACUCUCUCGACGUCACACUUGAAGAUGAGGCCGUGGUGGAGCGGCUCUUCAGCGCUGUUCCAGACCGUUUCACGGAAAAUCGUCAACACCAUUGA
rnacentral:rRNA from 1 species